AUGGAGAGUUUGAUCCUGGCUCAGGACGAACGCUGGCGGCGUGCUUAACACAUGCAAGUCGAACGAGAAGAGAUGAAGAAGCUUGCUU
rnacentral:rRNA from 1 species